rnacentral:rRNA from 1 species
AGUGAACGCUGGCGGUAGGCCUAACACAUGCAAGUCGAACGGCAGCACAGUAAGAGCUUGCUCUUACGGGUGGCGAGUGGCGGACGGGUGAGGAAUACAUCGGAAUCUACUUUUUCGUGGGGGAUAACGUAGGGAAACUUACGCUAAUACCGCAUACGACCUACGGGUGAAAGCAGGGGAUCUUCGGACCUUGCGCGAUUGAAUGAGCCGAUGUCGGACUAGCUAGUUGGCGGGGUAAAGGCCCACCAAGGCGACGAUCCGUAGCUGGUCUGAGAGGAUGAUCAGCCACACUGGAACUGAGACUCGGUCCAGACUCCUACGGGAGGCAGCAGUGGGGAAUAUUGGACAAUGGGCGCAAGCCUGAUCCAGCCAUACCGCGUGGGUGAAGAAGGCCUUCGGGUUGUAAAGCCCUUUUGUUGGGAAAGAAAAGCAGCAGGUUAAUACCCCGCUGUUCUGACGGUACCCAAAGAAUAAGCACCGGCUAACUUCGUG